CGACGAAUCUUCCGCAAUGCGCGAAAGCGUGACGGAGCAAUGCCGCGUGUGGGAUGAAGCGCCUUCGGCGUGUAAACCACUGUCAGGACCUAGGAACACUGACCGGGUCCAGAGGAAGGGCCGGCUAAACUCGUGCCAGCAGCCGCGGUAAUACGAGUGGCCCAAGCGUUAGGCGGAAUCACUGGGCUUAAAGCGUGCGUAGGCGGAUGUGAAGGCGUCUUGUGAAAGCCCACGGCUCAACCGUGGAAUUGCAGGGCGAACCACAUGUCUUGAGGUAGGUAGGGGACGACGGAACUGUCGGUGGAGCGGUGAAAUGCGUAGAUAUCGACAGGAACGCCUGUGGAGAAGUCGGUCGUCUGGGCCUUACCUGACGCUGAGGCACGAAAGCGUGGGGAGCAAACAGGAUUAGAUACCCCCGUAGUCC
rnacentral:rRNA from 1 species